rnacentral:rRNA from 1 species
CCCUUAGAUGUUCUGGGCUGCACGCGCGCUACACUGACGCACGCAACAGGUGCCUGCUCCGAGAGGACUGGGUAAUCAUUUGAGUGUGCGUCGUGAUAGGGAUAGAAUAUUGUAAUUAUUACUCUUCAACGAGGAAUUCCUAGUAAGCGCCAGUCAGCAGCUUGCGCUGAUUACGUCCCUGCCCUUUGUACACACCGCCCGUCGCUCCUACCGAUGGGUGAUCCGGUGAAUGAUUCGGACUUCAGCGGCUCCCCUGGGGUGCGCCGGAGAAAGUUUUGUGAACCUUAUCACUUGGAGGAAGGAGAAGUCGUAACA